rnacentral:sRNA from 1 species
GAUAGAUUUUAGUUACCGACUGAGGACCGAACCAAACAAUUACCGCUACAAACACAGACACACUCGAUUUGAAAACCUGUGUUCAGGACAAGAACUGCCGCCAAGCGUGCAUUUUGUACAACUUGAACUUUUUCCACCUUUCUAUAUAUUUCUAUAUACCUAAACACAUAUAUACUUAUAAUGCCUAAGCCCUAUGUUCGUGUGUUUACGUUUGUUUACGUUUAAGUAAUGCAAGAAGAUGGAAACCAAAAAAUGAUACAAAAAAUGAGAGGCCCCCGGCCGAGUUUACUUAAGUACGAUAUAUAUAUAGCAUUUUCUACAUCACACACACAUAUAUAUAUAUACCAGUACCUAUUGAUACAUACAGCGUAUGUAUGUGUAGGUGAUCUUGAACGCAUUCAUUAUGUUUUACGUUAACAUGCUAAUGCUCAUUUAGUUUACAUUAUGUAUAUGUAUGUAUAACUUAUGUUAAUGAUGUUACUACUACUACUACAAAUACUACUACCAAAAUUUAUUCGAUUCGAUUAGUUUUCCUUUUCGAUAUGAGAUUGAGAUUCCCGAAGGUGCAACAACUAUAUUGUAAUACUCGAAACAAACAAAAAAAACAAAAAAAAAAACAAAAAUACCAAAAGUACUAUACUCUACACCAAGCGGAAUGUUUUCCUUGCCCGCCCCUCAAAGAACCAUGUAAAGCAUUAAAUCAAAGCAAAUAAUCCAGUAAUCAGUAAUCCAGUACUCCAGUAAUGCUGUAAUGCUGUAAUCCAGUAACCAACUGUCUGUGCUCGAUGCAUUUUGUGCAACUCAAAACAAUUCCAGUUACUCGUACGUUCCCAAACAUAUUUGGUUCGGUUUGUUUUACUUUUUGUUUACGGUUACGAUUUCGGUUUCCAUUUCUGUUUUUGUUUCUGUUCCCAUUUCCGUUUCCGUUCGUAUUUGUAUUUGUGUUUGUGUUUGUGUAUCCGUCCAACACACUUUUUUAUAUGACAGUGUUUAGCAACAAGAGUCAUGCGAUACGAGAAAGCAAUGCGAAUUCCAUAAUCAAGUUUUUAUUGCCUGCUUUUGGGCGCGCGCGCGUGUCGAAAAUAUUUACACUUUCAUUUUGUCCAACAUGCAACGUUAGCCUGUCGUGUGUUUGUCUGCCUGCUUGUUUGAUUAACAACCUGCAACAUGUUUUGGCCUUAUCUUUUCCUGCCCCCACCCACCUGAUUUGCUUUUUCAUUCUGGCCACUCCGUUUCCAUUUCAUUUUUCCUGUCUUUUUAUUUGGCUCUUGUCUUAGCUGGAACGCAGCCAAACUGAGAAUGUAACCGCAACGAAUGUGAAUUGCUAUAACCAGAUUUUUGUGUGUUUUACCAACUCUCUAUAUAUGUAAAUCUCAGUCUACCUAUCUCUUUCUCUGUUUGCCUCCGCUAAAACCUUAUUCGUGUUGUUUUUAUUAUGAUUUUGCCUUGCCUCCUGCCACUCGUGAUUAUUUUUAUUGCUUCAGGUACAUACAUCAGAUUUUACUACUUGUUUACUACUUACGAUAUACACUUUGAAUGUGUGUGUGCGCACACAAGGAUAUUAUUUCGUUGCUCUGCAUUUUGAAUAUCCUGGAUGCGUGGCGUUUUGCGUGUGUGUGUCUGUGACUAUGUGUAUGUGUGUGUUUGUGUGCGUGCGUAUGUGAGUGCGUUAUUGACUAUGCAUAAAGUGCAUUUACAGUGCUCCUCAGACAGUAGGAAGCUGCUAGGUUAAAAGAAUAUAAGAACAGUUGCGCUUACUGAAGCCGCCGGGCGGAAACUUUUUUAAUUUAAUGUAAAAAUUGCCUACCACGCAUCCUCAAACAGAAGUCGAAAAAGGACGAAAAGUCCUUAAAUGCGACAACUUCGUUUAACUUAACUUAAUGCAAACUUGGCGCCCGCUUUUUUUCAAAUUAGCCUGGUUAAUUAGCGUUUUAUGCAUGUGUAACUGUGUGUGGGUGUGCCAUCGCUUAACUUGCAGCUAAAUUUAAUAAGUUUUCGCUCGCCAAUUAGCCUCUUCCCCUUGCCCGCCUGCAACUGCAUCCUUGCAUGAAAUCCCCAACGAGUUUACAACCGAAAAGCACCUGCAGCUAUCCCUAAUUUAAGUGGAACGUUAUGCACAUUUAUUGUCUUGAAGCUCACAGGGCGCUGGCCAAGAUCUGAAUAAGAUUGUGCAUCUAGAUAGUGUACAUAUUAAUGUAGUCCGCGAAUGCACGAAUUUACAUCCUAAUUUUAUACCUUUCCUAGCACCUGUAAGUGAGUCGAGCUUAGCUAUAUGUAUAUAUGAAUUACCAACUGAACCGUCCAUCGGUUAGUGACCAAUAAACACGGUAAAGACAAUUGUGUACGGACGCACUUCCCGAUUCCCCCAAAGAAUACCGAACACUAACACUCACACCACGACACCUACGUAUACUCUUCUUAAGCAAAAAUAUUUAAAUACUUAUAUCAUACACAACUUAUAUGAUAAGUGUCUACUCUUUUCCUUUUUCGUCUCUUUUUACGCUCUGACAUUUCAUUUUCCGAUAACAAACAACCAACCAACCAACCAACCAACCAAAAUGCGCAUUUAACCAACACACGCACACCACAAUUGUAAUGUGAACUACCCACCAAAACACCACCCA